AGGCUCCCCUACCUUUAACUUCUUCUGUCUAGCCUUCUCUGGGCAGCUGCCAAAAUUUAUAGCUUGCCAGACCUGGGCUUUUUUCUUUCCAAAUCUAAUAAAAUACACGAAAACAGAAAGUCUGAACCUGAUGUGGUGACUCAUCACGGUCAGCGCACAGGAGACUGAGGCCCAGGGGGGCUCCCUGCUGGACUGCAAAGCGAGAGCACAUCCUAAACACCAGCACCCCCAAAAACGAAUGUGGGUCUUGGUGUCACAGGUCAUAGCCUCCGGCCCCCCCAGGAGCCUCCCCUUCACCGGGACUCUGUCUUUCCAGUACGCAGACCCUGUAGCUGACCUCCUGGACCGGUGGGGCGUGUUCCGGGCCCGACUCUUCAGAGAAUCCUGUGUUUUCCAUCGAGGGAACUACGUGAAGGACCUGAGUCGCCUGGGACGGGAGCU
rnacentral:lncRNA from 1 species